rnacentral:lncRNA from 1 species
CGAACAACAGGAAGGGACGCGAGUCUUCUUCAGGACAAGAGAGUUCCUGAAUCCAUCAAAGUGUGGGAGGAAAUCACCUAAAAUAUCAUGGACCAACUUGCAAAUGUCAUAGGACAACAGCACAUGGGUCUGACUGUAGGAUUGAGUUUGUUGAUCAUCGUUGUGAUUAUCGUCCUCGCUGCUGUUGUUUACACUCCACCGGGCGCCGUUACGCGCUGCUUGAGGAGGAGGAGAAGCGAAGAGCAGCUCUCAUUGACCGCUAACAGAAUAUCAUGACUUAUGAUGAUGAUGAUGACACAAAUUAAUAAUAACUACAUGGAUCUCUGUGUUGGACCCACAACAACAAUAAACUGUUAAACCGUAAAUAUCAGAACAACAUUUACUCCUCAGUCUGAUAAUGGUUUAAAACAUAGUGACAUCCCAACAAAUCACAGUUUGCACAGUUUUUCCAGUUUUUUCGUGGUGUUAGAUGAGAUCACACUUUCCACGGCAGAUAAAUAAGAUCCAGCCCCAGACGCCAUGAUGUUGCCUGAAUCUUCUUCAGGUAUCUAGACAACAAGUCAGCAGAGUUUCCAAUAUUCAAACCUGUUAACCAGUAUUCAAACAGUGUACUGUAAAUAUAGGAGUUGACUGUGUACAGAAGCCAGAGAAGAGCAGAAGCAGGAGACGAAGUGAUGAUAAGAAAUGAGCAGUGUUUAUUGAAUAAUCUUAGUUGCAUGUGUUUCAGUGCGCUGUUAUACUUCAUCUGAACAGCACAAAUUUAGCAAUGUUGUUAUACAGACCUUAAAUUUGAUACAGGCCCUCAUAUCAGUGGAGAGAAACAUUUCAUGAAACCAUCACUUUAAGACUAAACAAUAAGAACAGGUAAUAAUAAAUAUCUAAAAUAAAGAAAUCAAAUCAAUAAAGGAUUAAUAUAAUGAAUAACGAAAACAUAAAUGAAUAAAAAAUAUGAAUCAAAUAAAUGAAUAACUAAGAUUUAUAAUUGAUUUUAUGGCCAUAAAUGAAAUUAUCAAUGUAAAACAAAUAAUAAUAAAACAAAACGAUAUAUAACAUAGAAUUGAUUUCAUUUAAAGCACAUACAGGUUAUUACAAAUUUCUGAUUCUACAAUGGAAAUGUGAAUACAGAGGAAAUCAGAAUUAAUAAACCCCUUUGAAUUUUUUUUUAUUUUUUAAAUAUUUCCAAAAUUAUGUUUAACAGAGCAAGGAAAUUUUCACGGUAUGUCUUGACACUAUUUUUCUUUUGGAGAAAGUCUUAUUUGUUUUAUUUCGGCUAGAAUAAAAGCAGUUCUUAAUUUUCUAAAAAACAUUUUAAGGUCAAAAUUAUUAGCAGUUUAAGCUAUAUAUUUUUUCAAUAGUCUUCAAAAUAAGCAACUGUUAUACAAUUGCCUAAUUAACCUAGUUGAGCCUUUAAAUGUCACUUUAAGUUGUAUAGAAGUGUCUUAAAAAUAUCUAGUCGUAUAUUGUUUACUGUCAUCAUGGUAAAGAUAAAAUAAAUCAGUUAUUAAAAAUUUGUUAUUUAAACUAUUAUGUUUAGAAAUGUGUUGAAAAAAAAAUCGUCUCUUUUUUUACUCAGAUAUUGGAGAAAAAAAAAUAAACGGGGUUAAUAAUUCUGACUUCAACUGUUCAUAUGUUAAUGUAAAUACAUAUGUGUAUGCUUAUAUGUUAAUGUAGGCUAAAUAUGGAAGCUGGGUUAUUUUGACCUCAUACUGAAAUGUGCUGUAAAUACAAUUAAGGUAAAUUUUGGAUCAUGCUUUUCUUAUUGUCUUGAACAAUUGUGCAUAAUAUUCAAGGUCAAAUUCUGUUACCUGUCAAAUAGAUGUCAGUCCUUUCCAGCAACCUCUGUAAAAUAGCCAUGUAAAAGCUGAACUGGCACUGACAGACCUAUGCAUUAAAAAAAAUUAAGGUUAUUAUUUUCUCCAAUUUGAUCCAAUUUAUUUUGUUUCUGCUCAAUCGUACAAACAUUAUUAAACAUUGUUUAUUUAACAGAAGACCAGUCUUAUUUUAGGAUUUAGUAACUGAAGUUUAUAUUAUUUUGGUUUAAGUUGUUAUUGUAGCUUUUGUCUCAUUUUGAGUCUUAGUCAUUUUGAUGCCUCAUUUUAGCCUUAGGUAUUUGGGGUUUAUGGUAAACUAAGAUAAUUAAAUAAAAUGGCAACUAGGUGGAUUAAAAUAAAGAUUUAUGCAUAUAAAUAUAUAAUAAAUAAUAUAUUUUUUUUUUCUCCAAGUUUUCCAAUAACAAAUAUUUUAGAUUUAUGGCGUUAGGGUUUGUUUAAGUCUGCAAUUCUAGUGAAUAACCACUAGAAGGACUAGUGCUCUUUGAAAACAAGUGUUUCUGACUGCAUUCUAAUAUGAGUCAAAUAUGAGAAUCUUAAAGAAAUUAUAUUCAUGUUAUACAGGUUGAUUAAAAGAAAAUUAUUUCGGGUUGAUUAAAAAAAAGUAUUCUUCACAUUGGUUAAUUUCCCAAAGUUCCAU